AGAGUGCAACCUUAAGUGGGUGGUAAACUCCAUCUAAAGCUAAAUAUUACCACGAGACCGAUAGCAAACAAGUACCGUGAGGGAAAGUUGAAAAGAACUUUGAAGAGAGAGUUCAAAAGUACGUGAAACCGUUUAGGGGUAAACGAAAAAGAACUGAAAAUCCGAAAAGGGAGAUUCACGUCUUCUCAUUUGUUAAGAAUAAUAAUAUUUAGGAUAAAUAAUAAGCUGUGCAUUUUUAAUGUAUUAGUAUUAUUAUUUGCCUUAUUUUAUUAUUUCUUAGCUAUGGUGGACCGCAAUUCUCUCUAAGUAGGACGUCGCGACCCGCUAACUUAUAAUCUAUGUGCAAAUAUUUAAGUCUUAUUAUUAUAUAUUGUUACUUUAUGUAAUAGUAUAUUUAAUAAUAAGGUUAUUUGUUUAUCUGAUUAAUUCGUUGGCGGUAAAAAACGAUAGUGUUUAGCCGCCUUAUAUGGCGUUUAAUUUUAUACUUUUAUAUUUUUAAUAAUAUUAAAUAUAUUGGAUUAUUUAAAUCCUUAUUUAAUUUAUUAAUUAUAUUAGUUUAAAUUAAAACGGCUUGCAACACUAGUCAGCGGCGCUACAGUUUCAGUAACUUUUUCGCAAGGAGUCUAACAUGUGCGCAAGUCGUUAGGUGUAUUAAAACCUAUAGGCGAAACGAAAGUAAAGAAAGCUUUGCUUUAAAAGGGAGGAUGAUUUAAUUUUUAUAUUUUAAUAUAAAAAUAAACCCGCACUCCUGGGGCGUCUAUUACUCAUUUUUGAGUAAAGAGGCACCUAGAGCGUACACGUUGGGACCCGAAAGAUGGUGAACUAUGCUUGACCAGGAUGAAGCCAGGGGAAACCCUGGUGGAGGUCCGUAGCGAUUCUGACGUGCAAAUCGAUCGUCAGAGUUAAGUAUAGCGGCGAAAGACUUAUCGAACUAUCUAGUAGCUGGUUCCCUCCGAAGUUUCUCUCAGGAUAGCUGGUGCCAAUGAUGAUAAAGAGUCUCAUCCGGUAAAGCGAAUGAUUAGAGGCCUUGGGGCCGAAACGACCUCAACCUAUUCUCAAACUUUAAAUGGAUGAGAGCCUUGGCUUGCUAAAAAUUGAAGCCAUGGACUUGGAUCUAGGUACCAAGUGGGCCAAUUUUGG
rnacentral:rRNA from 1 species